AUUCUUUUAAUUUAAAUUAUAAGAAUAAAUUAGGUACUUAAAGAAUUACUUGUUGACGUAGAGUAUAAUAGGUAUAGAGGACGUGGGUGCAACUCCCACCACCUCCACCAUAAACACAUUGUAGGAGAUUAGUAUGUUAAAAUGGUUUNUAAAUUUGUUUACUAUCAAACACCAAGGUGAUUUAAGUAAACAUAGACUACAUACUACAAAGUACGAAGACCUUUGUAAAUAAUGUGCUUAUGGGGGGUGUGGUAGGUUCGACUCGUAUUGAAAGACUUUAUAGAGAGUAAUAGUUGGCGAACUCAAACGCAAUUUUAAAUGGCAACGAAAAUUUUGCUAUUGCUGCCUAGUUAAUAGGUGACGGAGUUUUGUGGUGUACUUGGCAACAGAAACACCACGCU
rnacentral:tmRNA from 1 species